AGUGCAAUAAAGACAAUAAGUAGUUCUUUGGAAGGCAUGUCUCAGCAAGGUCCACCUCGGUGGAUUGAACCCAAGAGUCAUGUUCAAAGUGGAGGGUACGAGUGUGGAUACUAUGUGAUGCAUUGGAUGUGGUGCAUCGUUAGUGGUCGUUUGAAGGAUGACUGGAACAGGUGGUUCUCGGAUGGAUCAGCAUUAGACGUGGAGGCCAUGACAAUAAUUCGAAAGAAUUGGAC